rnacentral:rRNA from 1 species
UACGUAGGGUGCGAGCGUUAAUCGGAAUUACUGGGCGUAAAGCGUGCGCAGGCGGUUUUGCAAGCCGGAUGUGAAAUCCCCGGGCUCAACCUGGGAAUGGCAUUCGGGACUGCAAGGCUGGAGUGCGGCAGAGGAGACUGGAAUUCCUGGUGUAGCAGUGAAAUGCGUAGAUAUCAGGAGGAAUGCCGAUGGCGAAGGCAGGUCUCUGGGCUGACACUGACGCUCAUGCACGAAAGCGUGGGGAGCAAACAGG